rnacentral:rRNA from 1 species
AGAGUUUGAUCCUGGCUCAGAACGAACGCUGGCGGCGUGCUUAACACAUGCAAGUCGAACGGAAUUAGGGGCUUGCUCCUAAUUUAGUGGCGCACGGGUGAGUAACGCGUGGAUAACCUACCCUGGUAUCUGGGAUAACAUCUCGAAAGGGGUGCUAAUACCGGAUAAGCCCACGGUCUCUUCGGGGAUUGCGGGAAAAGAUGGCCUCUAUUUAUAAGCUAUCGUAUCAGGAUGGGUCCGCGUACCAUUAGCUAGUUGGUGGUGUAAUGGACCACCAAGGCGACGAUGGUUAGCUGGUCUGAGAGGAUGAUCAGCCACACUGGAACUGAGACACGGUCCAGACUCCUACGGGAGGCAGCAGUGGGGAAUUUUGCGCAAUGGGGGAAACCCUGACGCAGCAACGCCGCGUGAGUGAUGAAGGCCUUCGGGUCGUAAAGCUCUGUCAGAGGGGAAGAAGUGAUAGUGUGCUAAUACCACAUUAUCUUGACGGUACCCUCAAAGGAAGCACCGGCUAACUCCGUGCCAGCAGCCGCGGUAAUACGGAGGGUGCAAGCGUUGUUCGGAUUUAUUGGGCGUAAAGCGCGUGUAGGCGGUCUUUUAAGUCUGAUGUGAAAGCCCCGGGCUCAACCCGGGAAGUGCAUUGGAAACUGGGAGACUUGAAUACGGGAGAGGGUAGUGGAAUUCCUAGUGUAGGAGUGAAAUCCGUAGAUAUUAGGAGGAACACCGGUGGCGAAGGCGGCUACCUGGACCGAUAUUGACGCUGAGACGCGAAAGCGUGGGGAGCAAACAGGAUUAGAUACCCUGGUAGUCCACGCCGUAAACGAUGAGUACUAGGUGUUGCGGGUAUUGACCCCUGCAGUGCCGCAGCUAACGCAUUAAGUACUCCGCCUGGGAAGUACGGUCGCAAGACUAAAACUUAAAGGAAUUGAUGG